ensembl:lncRNA
UUUAAUGGUUCUGAUGCUGCUUACGCGUAAUUUCCUGACCAUAUUUAUUCUGUUUUAUUGGUUUUUAUUUCAUUUACCGCCCACAUUGUAUAUUUGUUGCCUCUUUUGUAUAUGUUGUCAUUUUUAAUAUUGUGUUGGUUUAUAUGUACAUUUGAUUUUAUUAUUUAAUGCUGUUAUCUUGGGCUGCACAGUGGUGUAGUGGUUAGUACUUUCACCUUGCAGCUAGAAGACCCCUGGUUCACGUCCCGGCUUUCCCGGGAUCUUUCUGCAUGGAGUUUGCAUGUUCUCCCUGUGCAUGCGUGGGUUUUCUCCGGGUACUCCGGCUUCCUCCCACAGUCCAAAAAUAUGCUGAGGUUAAUUGAUCAUUCUAAAUUGCCCGUAGGUGUGAAUGUGAGAGUGAUUGUUUGUCUCUGUAUGUGGCCCUGUGACAGACUGGUGACCUGUCUAGGGUGUCCCCUGCCUUCACCUGAGUCAGCUGGGAUAAACUCCAGAGACACGUUGGGGGACAAAACUAUCGAGCAGCACAUUGAAGGUGAAGGAAAACCUCUACGGUGGGUUACUGAGAAAUGUGGAAACAGGUACCAUGUCCUCAACAACACGAGCGCUGAUGACGACCAGGUGAUGGAGCUGCUGGAGAAGAUGGAGGAGAUGGUGGCAGGAAACAGCUUUUUUUUACCUCAGUGCCUACCCCGAAAGAGAUGAUGUAGCACCAGAGGAAGACAUAAGCGACAAAUUAGCUGAAAGCAAAGGCGAGUACACAGCCAGGCAGAUCACAGAGCAGCUUACCAUCAAGUGGGAUCAUGGGAAGUGGGAAAAACACCACCUCUUUAAGGGAAGCCACAGCAUGGGAUUACCAGCCACCAUGAGUGAAAGUAUGACGUCCGAGAAAUCUGGAAAAGCGGAAGAAGAAGAAAUGGAGCAGCAACACGAAGUUGAUCCGUUUCUGAGCUCUUUGGAAGCAGCUACUGUAGAAGAUGCAGGAACCGACCACAUGAACCUCUGGAUGGGGCUGCUGGAGAGAGAGUGUAGCACACCAGCUGGAGACACUUCUACAGCGCUUCAUUUGAAGAUGAGAGAGCAGCCUCUGAACCAGACAGCGACGAGCUGCUGAAAUCGAGAGAAAAAGUGGCUUCGUGGCUGAAAUAAGAACCUGCUCAUCUGAGCAGCACUAGUUCAGGCUGUGAGACGCUAUCGAUCAGCAGGGAAGCAGAGCAGGAGUCGGCCUGGAUAAACUGAUUUAUUGCACUUCAUUCUGCCAGCAUGAUUGAGACAUCCGGGGUCUUAAUCAAUGGGAAAUAUCAUUUUAUUGACUACAAUCAAGAGGAAAAUAAUCAGCACUGAUGAGCUUGCAGCUGAUUAGGCUACACUGAUUAGAUUCUUCUGUCUGCUGAAACAAUACUAACACCUUCUUUUUUUAAUUGCAGAUUAUUCAUGCUGUAAUAAUUAUUAUAUCAAUGACAAAAAAGCAAAACUUCACUUGGAUGUCCUCCCGCAUUACCAAAAGAGCGCAGUUUCUUUCUCAGUUCAACCAAUUAAGGCUAUUUCUGGAUGAAAGCUUUUGAUAAUUCACAUCCUCAGCUGGAAAAAAUGUCAGUUUUGUUAUUUUGUGAUUUUAAACUCAAAUAUUUUUUUAAAAAAAAAAUAAACAUCAGCAAAAGAUGAUAAUGUGCUAUUAAUCUGACAAAAAGAACCACUCACUCACUUCUUUACACUGUUUACUCCUUUCCUUGUGAAUCUGUACAGCAGAGAUGUAUGCUAAGCUAGUGGAGAAUGUAUAUGCUGAAUACUAGAGGCUCCUGCCUGACCACAUGCACACAUUUUGUGGAGAGAAGUAGCAUGAACAACACACCAUUUCUGUUUAGAGAAAUGGUGUGUUGUUCAGAGAAAAAGUGUGCUUUCUAAAGUCCACCUGCCUGGUGAAAGUGAGCAGCCUGUAAAAAAAAAAAAAAAAGAAGUAAAUAAAGUUAACAGAAGUCCUCACCUGAGUUUCUUCCUUGCGGAGGCCAUCUUGUUUAGGAAGUUAAGAAGGGGGCACACCUCUAAAGGAGGUCUUUUAUUGGUUCACUGAGUAGGCGGGAUUUCAAAUAUGAUUGGGCUGGAGGUGCAUCCUGAUUGGUCAGUUUAAACUGAAGAGACAAGCCCCUUCUCUGUAUAUGUGAGUGUAAUAGAAGAAAAAAGGAAUAGUUUGUUCAUGAAAGCAGCAGUGUUGCUCCGCUAACUGUUGAAUGCAGUUUGUGAAAGUUUUCUUGUAAGUUUUUUUUUAAAUUCUCUUGCUAUUUCUGUUUGUUUUUCUUCCUUUUGGAGAUGUGCUGUGCCCAUUUGUCCUCCACAUACCUCCAAAGGCGACCUACAGCUCUCCUUGGAAAACAGUUACAACUCCUUUACAAGUAGAGACAUGAGAUGAGAUGAGAUGAGAUGAGAUGAGAUGAGAUGAGAUGAGAUGAGAUGAGAUGAGAUGAGAUGAGAUGAGAUGAGAUGAGAUGAGCAGUGCUACAGCAGCCAAAUACAUCUAGGAAAUGUGAUACAAAAUAAAACUAAACCAAAAUAUACAUAAGGACUCGUUAUAGAAGUAACUUUAUUGCACAUGUCAGUUGUAGUGCAUAGAUUCUUUCAUGAACAGAAAUACUGAGAGAAGUAUUAAUAUUGUAAAUAAGUAAAAAAAAUACCUGUGUAGCACAAGUUUGCACUGAAGUUGUGUCCAACCCUUUCACAUCAGCAGACCCCUCUGUGGACGUCCAGGUGCUAUAUAAGGUUUGUGUAACCCAGGUACAGUGGGACACUGCAAUAGUUUUGUUGGUCAUCAAGCAGAAAGCCUGCUCUUUAUUCGUUUUUUUCCUUGAGAUUUAGAAAAUCUUAAACGGACUUUGCAUUUUGAGCAAUUUGAACUGUUAUGCUUGUGAACUUGAAGCUUAAUGAAUUGUAUAAAUUAGAUACUUGUUAUUUUAAUUUUCAUUUUGUAAUCCUUUGUUUUAAUUGAUUGUAUUUGCUGUUUUCCUUGAUUUACAUCAAGUGUUUUGAUUUAAUACAGUUGGUUAGUUUCAGCAUCCUUUCUCUUCCUUUUGUAGGAAUUACAACUCGAGCUCCCCAGAGGAUGCAGCCAUCUCUUACACUGAGCUCCAUUUUCCUCUGGUGGAAUGCCUUAAGUCUCUCUCACUUGUAGACAUGACCAGAGGAGCUAAACUGGACCCAGGAUUCACCUGGAGGCAGCAUAGACCUACGAACUGGAGCAGGUGGAAGCUGAAUUAGUGAGGAUGACUCCUGCUCCUGUCAUCUCUAAGCUCCUCACACAUCUUUACCUGCACAUGAGGAAAAUCACUCCUGUAGAAUGCAGUUCAUCAGAACCUCUGGGGAUCCUGUGGAUUCUGUGGAUCCUGUGGGUUGCAGGGUGGGUCCUACCUAGACCAGGCUGAUCCUGGACCAUCCCACAGAUGCUCCAUCAGAUGUGGAUGUGGGGAGUGUGGAACCCAGAUGUUCAGAGGCAGAUGAUGCCACAUCUGGUCCAGCUGAUGGAAGGUCUUGAAGUUCUCUGACUGGCCUGGACUGAAGAUGGUCGUCUCACUGGAUUUAAGGUUCAGAUGCUGUUAUUUGUUUAGUCCAGACUAAAUGACAAAAAUCCACAACUGUAAUUAGUUUUUUUCCCUGUUAAAAGGGUGUUUUCCUGCCACUGUCACCUUAGGGCUGCUCUGGGGUUCAGGCAUAUGGGUUCUGUAAAGCGUCUCGAGACAAUUUUACUGUAAUUGGUGCUGUAUAAAUAAAAUUAAAUUGAAAAAUUUGAAUUGAAUUAAUUUUAUUUCAGGACUCGGUUAUUAAAUGUCAAAACAAUCCAUGUGACUCUAAAAACUCAACAGCUUUACAAACUCUAAGAUUAAACUCUCCACAAGGAUCCAAAAUAAGUUGGACUUCUACAUGAGAGCUUUAAUUAUUCUUCUACUUCCUGAAAAGUUUGGUCAGUAAAAAAGAAAAAAACUAAUGUUUUCAGCUGAACUAAAGACAGACUUUGUGAUUUUUCUGCUCACAUGUUGUGUUGUUGUAAACUUCCUCUUUUUAAUAAAUAUCCUCCUAACCCCCUGGAAACCAGCGUUUGUCUGUUUUUGUGUUGCUCCUCUGCGACCCUAGACAGCCAGGUCCUAAUGUUUUUGAGCAACACACCAUACUAUGACGUUUUUACAAUGAUGGUUCUACUAUGGAACCAGUUUGACAUGUUCAGGCGUUCUUUGUGUGAAAACUCAGAGAUUUCAGGGAUCAGAAGAUGGUUUUCAACUUUCUUUGUUAACUUUCUGCUUCAA